rnacentral:lncRNA from 1 species
AAAAUCUAACAUUCAUCUACAUGUCUUAAUACGAUUAAGACAUUGUAGUUUGUAGUGAGUGAAAUUCAAGCAUUCUUAACCACCAGUAUUAAAGUUUUGAAUUGAUGGGCUCGUAUCUACUUUGUUAAAAUUAAAGAAGUGUCAUCUUAGUACUGGCAUAGUAUCUUGAACUUUACAAUCAGUUUUCCUUUUAUUUCUCGAAAUGACAUCUAAUGUAUACGUUAACUAUCAUGAAUAUUAACUCAGCUGUAAUAUGAAAAAAAUCGUUAAGAUUCAUGCAUGUACCUUUUUAUAGUUCUUUACACUUUGAUUAGACCAAUGGAAUAAGCCAUAUUUUGGCAUACUUUGGUAUAUUUCCAUAGAUAAUUUAUAUUCUCAAGAAUAUUUUGUGUUAUGCCUUGUUUUAGUGAUCGUGGUGGAGAAGACCCAAACCAGAAAGUAAUCCAUGGGGUUAUUAACUCCUUUGUUCAUGUUGAACAGUAUAAGAAAAAAUUCCCCUUAAAGUUUUAUCAGGAAAUCUUUGAGUCUCCCUUUCUGACUGAAACAGGAGAGUAUUAUAAACAAGAAGCUUCAAAUUUAUUGCAAGAAUCAAACUGCUCACAGUAUAUGGAAAAGGUAAGAAAUAAAACAUAUUAAAUAUGUUUAUCUAUUUUUGUAUCUGGCCUGGUUUUAUUUAACAUCGUUCUUAGUUUUGGGGGGGGGGUGGAAAAAGAUGGUUUAUUUAAUCAUUAACUCUGAGUUAUAGUUAUUAUACAAUAACGUUGUUAAGUCAUUGCUCUUGUUGUAACAUUUUCCUGAGAAAACAGUACCCUUCCAGUUUUCAUCAUAAUUGAUGCAUUUUGAUAAAUCCUAACUGCCUGGAUUAAUAUAUAUGCACAUUCUUGGCAGAAUAAUAAACUGGAUUUCAUGCUUAGUGGUUUGUUUAGAGAAUAGGAUAAGUGCAGAAGCUCUGUGUUGAGGUUUUUUUCUUCGUUUAAAAUGAGAGGAAAAAUAGGGAAAAUAUAGUCAUGUCUAGAAUGACAUUUGAAUAAGUCACUCUUUUGGUCUGUUAAGUUCUUGGAAAGCUGA